AGUGCACCCUCUAUCAGAACAAAC
rnacentral:siRNA from 1 species